AUGCGUAGGGGGCGAGCGUUGUCCGGAAUGAUUGGGCGUAAAGGGCGCGUAGGCGGCCCGGUAAGUCUGGAGUGAAAGUCCUGUUUUUAAGAUGGGACUUGCUUUGGAUACUGUCGGGCUUGAGUGCAGGAGAGGUAAGUGGAAUUCCCAGUGUAGCGGUGAAAUGCGUAGAGAUUGGGAGGAACACCAGUGGCGAAGGCGACUUACUGGACUGUAACUGACGCUGAGGCGCGAAAGUGUGGGGAGCAAACAGGAUUAGAUACCCUGGUAGUCCACACUGUAAACGAUGAAUGCUAGGUGUAGGGGGUAUCGACCCCUUCUGUGCCGCAGUCAACACAAUAAGCAUUCCGCCUGGGGAGUACGGCCGCAAGGUUGAAACUCAAAGGAAUUGACGGGG
rnacentral:rRNA from 1 species